rnacentral:tRNA from 1 species
GCCUUCUUAGCUCAGUCAGUAGAGCAUCAGAAUUUAAAUCUGAGGGUCGUGGGUUCGAUUCCCACAGAACUCG